UGACGUAGCCCAAGAUCUCCCUUACCAGGAAGACCCUUUGCAUAUUAUGAUCAGAGUCUCUAAGGCCAUUUCCCAGAAGCCACGGCCAACUCUAGUGAGCAGCCACAUCUUGCAGUUUCCCAAGCAAGUUUGAUGCCAAGUCCUGAUUGCAUGACAUGGAAUUUAUCCUGAGAAGCCAGUUUUACAAAUAUCUCCCUAUGUCCUGGGAAAUCCUGGGGGAGUUCCCCAAAGUGAGAAGACCAUGUUGUUAAUAGAUAUAGUACAAAUCUGUCCAAGUGAAGUUGUCUACGCCAUGCAGCCACGCAGGGAGCCACAUCCCCUCUCCCAGAAGCUGCCAAUGGUUGACUAUUUUUGGAAUCCUAUUUGGGAGCUGAAGGUGGAAUUUAUGGCACAUCCCUGAACAGACUCCGUGGAUAGAAACGUCCCUUUCCAGGACUUCAUUUGCCUACAGAGAUGUUAAGUAGAAUUUCCCAAAGAAGAAAAAGCACUUACAGAUUUGGUGGUGUAGAAGCAAGGCCCAAAAGAAGUAUCACACAUGUGUUCCUAUGUCUUUAAUACAAAGUGACUUCAUCUUCUAACACAGCUGUCUAUAUAGGUCAUACUGUGACCUUUGUCCUGACUGGUGAAUAUGCUUCCAAGGUUAGGUAAAUCGAUGGUAGAUAACAACAAAGAAGAUAAGGAAGGAACUGCCAUCUCCACCCUCAUUCCAGAAAGAAGAGGUAGAAAAGAUGGUGGACUGAGAGCCCUUUUGUUUUAGCAGCUUCUCCUCCAGUCCCUUUGGAAGACUGUAGCCACCUCAUCCCUGCUGGGUAUUUCUCUCCACAGUCUCUCCCAAGACCAGCAAUGCAUGCAGCUCCCACAUCCUUACCCUCAAAUCCUGCAUAUAGAUCAGCAGAGAUCAAUGCUUAAAUCCCCUCUGAGCAGGCACAAAGCAAGUGAAGAUCCAUAAUGGAUUUAGACCAACAUCAAAGGAUCAGUUCAUACAUGAACACACUGCAUCCUAUAGAGAAACCUAAAGCAAUCAAGGGCACAGAACAAUACCUUGAAGGAAGAGUUCAGAAUGCUGUUUUGCCGGGGCGAGUCUUAAGGUGGGAGGAAGGAGGCUUCAUUUCCCUCCUAAUUGUCGCUGCUGCUUUUGAUUUGCUUCCUGCUUCCCCCACCUUUUAAAAUGCUACAUCAUGAGUAUCUUCCU
rnacentral:lncRNA from 1 species